rnacentral:rRNA from 1 species
GAUGAACGCUGGCGGCGUGCCUAAUACAUGCAAGUCGAGCGAACAGAUGAGAAGCUUGCUUCUCUGAUGUUAGCGGCGGACGGGUGAGUAACACGUGGGUAACCUACCUAUAAGACUGGGAUAACUCCGGGAAACCGGGGCUAAUACCGGAUAAUAUUUUGAACCGCAUGGUUCAAUAGUGAAAGACGGUUUCGGCUGUCACUUAUAGAUGGACCCGCGCCGUAUUAGCUAGUUGGUAAGGUAACGGCUUACCAAGGCGACGAUACGUAGCCGACCUGAGAGGGUGAUCGGCCACACUAGAACUGAGACGCGGUCCAGACUCCUACGGGAGGCAGCAGUAGGGAAUCUUCCGCAAUGGGCGAAAGCCUGACGGAGCAACGCCGCGUGAGUGAUGAAGGUCUUCGGAUCGUAAAACUCUGUUGUUAGGGAAGAACAAAUUUGUUAGUAACUGAACAAGUCUUGACGGUACCUAACCAGAAAGCCACGGCUAACCACGUGCCAGCAGCCGCAGUAA